rnacentral:rRNA from 1 species
AUUGAACGCUGGCGGCAGGCUUAACACAUGCAAGUCGAGCGGAGCGAGGGUGCUUGCACCUUAGCUUAGCGGCGGACGGGUGAGUAAUGCUUAGGAAUCUGCCUAUUAGUGGGGGACAACAUUCCGAAAGGGAUGCUAAUACCGCAUACGCCCUACGGGGGAAAGCAGGGGAUCUUCGGACCUUGCGCUAAUAGAUGAGCCUAAGUCGGAUUAGCUAGUUGGUGGGUUAAAGGCCUACCAAGGCGACGAUCUGUAGCGGGUCGGAGAGGAUGAUCCGCCACACUGGGACUGAGACACGUCCCAGACUCCUACGGGUGGCAGCAGUGGGGAAUAUUGGACAAUGGGCGUAAGCCUGAUCCAGCCAUGCCGCGUGUGUGAAGAAGGCCUUUUGGUUGUAAAGCACUUUAAGCUAGGAGGAGGCUACUAGUAUUAAUACUACUGGAUAGUGGGCGUUACUCGCAGAAUAAGCACCGGCUAACUCUGUGCCAGCCGCCGCCGUAACAC